rnacentral:lncRNA from 1 species
GUUUGUCUUUAAAAGAAAUGAAAGAAAGUUUUGUACGUUUAUAUGUUACGCCUAGCAUUAUCUGAUUAUGAAAUAUUGUUAUACCUAUGGUAUUGUUCCUUAGGGAAUUUACUUGCUUAAAGAUAAGAUUUAUGUAGAAUUUCAGAUCACAAAGUUGAAAUUCUUGAAUCCUGAUUAGAUGUUUUGUGUGUGAUGAAGCAUGUGGCCUACGAAUAUGCAAGGAGAGGUGCUUGCUUGGUUCUUGCAGCAAGAAGAGUGAAUAUAUAGUCUUCGAGAAGUUGCCGAGUUAGCCAAAAUACCUGGUUCCCUCCUGUGCCUGCAGAUGUUUCCAAAGUCGAAGACUGCAAACGAUUGAUUGAAACUACCAUUGAACAUUUUGGGCAAUGUAAGUUUAUUCAAGUACAACAACACUUGCACAGCUGCACCUCUAAUUUUUUCCAUGUGUUGCACUUUCUUGCAUUUUGUUUUGUGCAAAAUUUUUUAGGCUUGUCGUUGCAUUUGACUUGACUCGUGCUUAAAUGAGAAGUUCAACUACAAUAUGAGAUGAAAUGGGGAUAUCAUAUAGUUGAAAAGGAUAAUUACGCUCACCUUCCUUGAGGUUUACAGUAACUUAUAGCAUAUACUCUGUAGCCUUUCUGGAAUUACAACUGACCUUCUAGUUAUGCUUUGGAUUACGAUUGAGAACCGAUAUCUGGGGUUAGUGCAGUUGGCAAGCAGUGCCAGAGUUAUUUUCGAUGUUAGAACGACUGUCUUCUUAACCCCAAUUGUAGCAAAGCCUGAAAAGCAAAAUGAAAAAGAUUUGUAGUAACACUUUCGUUAUGACAUAAAAUGGAUACAAGUCUAAUCAGAUUCGUCCAACACCCCAAAACUGCGGCUUCAGGACGGGGGGCGGGAUGAGAGGGGAGAAAGGGCUUGUUAAUUCCUUCAUAUGAAACUAUGAAUUGAUGCUUAAUUGGUCUUUAUAGAUGCAAAUUUCAUCUAGUAGUCAACAUGAAGUUCUGUUGUAUGUUUCUCGAUGUACAUGUAUUUUUUAUCCUGAAAUUUCAGGAGGUGUAUUUAUUAACUCAGUGGAUCAUCUCGUCAACUGUGCUGCCGUCGCGACCCUCGCCUUAUUUGAAGACUCAGGAGGUUGAUGUCGACAAUUUUGCCCCGGGAAUGGUAAUGAAAAAACUAAUUCCAGUAUCUGUAGUAACAAUAAUGUUAGUUAUUCAUUCAUCUGAAGCUAGAACUCUAGAAAAUGACCAAUCUAUUCUGGAGUCAGUUGACACAAGUAUCUUUCUCAUUGUUUGAUUAAGGGAACUUUGGUCAAUAUGAUCUACCUUCUGUAUUUGUAGGACAUAAACUUUUGGGGUUCGGUUUAGACAACCUACUAUGCAAUUCC